AACGGCCAUACCAUGCUGAAUAUACCGGUUCUCGUUAGAUCACCGAAGUCAAGCAUCAUUGGGCGCGGUCAGUACUUGGGUGGGUGACCACCUGGGAACACCGCGCGCCGUU
rnacentral:rRNA from 2 species